ensembl:lncRNA
CACUCCUCCGCGAACCGUCCUUCGGGUGAUGCGCGGUGCCUCGGUUUGAAGCCGCCGCACUCCGAACGGGCGCGAUGUGUGAACGCGGGGCCGGCGGGGAUGUGAAUUCGAACGUGCUGAUCGCCCGCAGCACCGGCGACGCGCAGCUGGACAAAGCGGUGUGGCAGUGGCUGAGCUGGGACAAGGGCAGAGGGUGUCUGCAGAACCAAAGUGAUUGCAGUGGGAGUUGUAAAUGGCCAGUUAUUUUGGCAGAAUACUCGCCUUGAAACCUGACUCUGGUGUUCAGUAGGAGUUGUUAACAUGGCUGGAAGAGAAAGAAGCAGUAAGAAAUAAUUAGCUGAUGCCCCUACACCUGCAUUCUGCUGUGCCUUCAGAUUACUUAUCCUGGUGAGCUGCAGGGAAAGAAGGGCAAUUCUUUCAGUAAGCAAUUGUGCAGUAUGUGAAGAACUGAACCUAAUACUGAAUUCAGCAGAGAAUAGGAUGGUGACGAUUGUUUUUUAAUAAAACCCCAACUGCUGCAGGACCUGAUCCCAGAGUUCUGUUGUACAUCUGAGUCUGGCAGAAAACCUUUGGAGGCAGCUGCUGGAACUCACCUCCCAUUGCCAACAGGCUCAUCUCCUUCCUCUGCUCAAUGUACAACCACUGCAGCUGCCUUAAGCUUAGUUCCACAGGACCAGCAGUGCAGGUGGUGUAAAGCUCCUGGCUCAGAACUGAAGUCAGAGGCACGAAUGACAGCAUUUUAUGAGGAAGGAACCCUUGGUUUUCAGUGUUGCCAUGUCUGUAUAUUAAUGCAACAACUCUGUAGGAAAAUGUGAAGCUCUGCUAGCCUGCUGGUAGUGCUCAGCCCUGCUCCCUGUGNGCUGCCCAGGGCCCCAUCCAACCUGCCCUUCAACACCUCCAGGGAUGGACGGGGCAUCCACAGCCUCUCUGGGCAGCUGUUCCAGCAAAUGGGCAUCCAAGCAUAGAAUCACUUCAGCUGGAAUCUAACCUAAAUCCAUUAUACUGCUCUGAAGCUGGAGAUCAUUGGCUUUCACGAGGACUGUUAGUAUUGUGCAAAAAGACCACCACCAAAACCAAUAAAACCAGAAGAAAACAAACCCCAAAAGCAAAACCACCCCCAACCCCACAAGCCUCUUCUUUUUAGCCAAAGUUGUGAACGAGGACACAAAACAAAUAGCCAGUUUUAUUAGGAGGACAAGCAGGGAGUAAGAUGAAAAAGCAAAUAUAGACUGACUGCGAAGAACAUCUGUUGUAAACUGCUGAACUUCUGGGCUGGCCUUCCAGUAACAGCAGUUGAUAGCGUUGUUUGCAAUGGAUUUGGAUGGUGUGGUUAAGUGCCUCUGCAUUGCUGUAGCUUUCUCUUUAGCUCUUGUUUUAAAACAGAGAGGUCAGUACGUAGUUGGAGUGGACUGAAUCUCAGACUGCAAACCUGGUGUUACAUCCUGCAUCAAAGCUGAUGCUUCAGAUACUAUGAUUUACUAUUUAUACUUGGGUUAGAGAUAGAAUAUUUUGAUAAGAAACCACUGUAAACAGAUGUUGAGUUUGGAGUGGAGUGUUUUGUGAUGGACUUCUUGAUAGGAGUAUUGGAGAGAUGUUGGAACUUGACUGCCAUUUUGGUAGUUGCGCAUUGGGUUUGAGGAAUGCA